AACGAACGCUGGCGGCAUGCCUAACACAUGCAAGUCGAACGAGACCUUCGUGUGUAGUGGCGCACGGGUGCGUAACGCGUGGGACCCUGCCCUUAUGUUCGGAAUAACACCCCGAAAGGGGUGCUAAUACCGGGUAAUGUCUUCGGACCAAAGAUUUGUCGCCUUUGGAUGGGCCCGCGUUGGAUUAGCUAGUUGGUAGGGUAAAAGCCUACCAAGGCGACGAUCCAUAGCUGGGCUGAGAGGAUGAUCAGCCACACUGGGACUGAGACACGGCCCAGACUCCUACGGGAGGCAGCAGUGGGGAAUAUUGGACAAUGGGCGAAAGCCUGAUCCAGCAAUGCCGCGUGAGUGAUGAAGGCCUUAGGGUUGUAAAGCUCUUUUACCCGGGAUGAUAAUGACAGUACCGGGAGAAUAAGCCCCGGCUAACUCCGUG
rnacentral:rRNA from 1 species